rnacentral:rRNA from 1 species
CGACUGCUAAUACCCAAUGUGCCGAAAGGUGAAAGAUUUAUCGACAGAAGAUGGGCUCGCGUCUGAUUAGCUAGAUGGUGGGGUAAGAGCCUACCAUGGCAACGAUCAGUAGCUGGUCUGAGAGGAUGAGCAGCCACACUGGGACUGAGACACGGCCCAGACUCCUACGGGAGGCAGCAGUGGGGAAUUUUCCGCAAUGGGCGAAAGCCUGACGGAGCAAUACCGCGUGAGGGAGGAAGGUCCUUGGAUUGUAAACCUCUUUUAUCAGGGAAGAAGUUCUGACGGUACCUGAUGAAUAAGCAUCGGCUAACUCCGUGCCAGCAGCCGCGGUAAUACGGAGGAUGCAAGCGUUAUCCGGAAUUAUUGGGCGUAAAGCGUCCGUAGGUGGUUAUGCAAGUCUGCCGUUAAAGAAUGGAGCUUAACUCCAUAGGAGCGGUGGAAACUGCAAGACUAGAGUACAGUAGGGGUAGCAGGAAUUCCCAGUGUAGCGGUGAAAUGCGUAGAUAUUGGGAAGAACAUCGGUGGCGAAAGCGUGCUACUGGGCUGAAACUGACACUGAGGGACGAAAGCUAGGGUAGCGAAUGGGAUUAGAUACCCCAGUAGUCA